rnacentral:rRNA from 1 species
GAUGAACGCUGGCGGCGUGCCUAAUACAUGCAAGUCGAGCGAACAGACGAGGAGCUUGCUCCUCUGACGUUAGCGGCGGACGGGUGAGUAACACGUGGAUAACCUACCUAUAAGACUGGGAUAACUUCGGGAAACCGGAGCUAAUACCGGAUAAUAUAUUGAACCGCAUGGUUCAAUAGUGAAAGACGGUUUUGCUGUCACUUAUAGAUGGAUCCGCGCCGCAUUAGCUAGUUGUUAAGGUAACGGCUUACCAAGGCAACGAUGCGUAGCCGACCUGCGAGGGUGAUCGGCCACACUAGAACUGAGACACGGUCCAGACUCCUACGGGAGGCAGCAGUAGGGAAUCUUCCGCAAUGGGCGAAAGCCUGACGGAGCAACGCCGCGUGAGUGAUGAAGGUCUUCGGAUCGUAAAACUCUGUUAUUAGGGAAGAACAAAUGUGUAAGUAACUAUGCACGUCUUGACGGUACCUAAUCAGAAAGCCACGGCUAACUACGUG